rnacentral:rRNA from 1 species
UACGUAGGGUGCGAGCGUUGUCCGGAAUUACUGGGCGUAAAGAGCUCGUAGGUGGUUCGUCGCGUUGUUCGUGAAAACUCACAACUCAAUUGUGGGCGUGCGGGCGAUACGGGCAGACUGGAGUACUGCAGGGGAGACUGGAAUUCCUGGUGUAGCGGUGGAAUGCGCAGAUAUCAGGAGGAACACCGGUGGCGAAGGCGGGUCUCUGGGCAGUAACUGACGCUGAGGAGCGAAAGCGUGGGGAGCGAACAGG